rnacentral:lncRNA from 1 species
UUUUCCUGUUUUUUUUUUUUUUGUUUCUUCAAUAUAGCCUAAAACAUAACCUUUUUAAAGUAUGGUGAUCUUGAGCAAGUUCAUCUCGUCAACGGCUAGAAAGUUGGUAGUGCCAGAGGGUACCAUGGGGAUUUCAAACUAGCAUAUGAACCAUGUAAAAAACCAAUUGAGCUUGUAAUUGUAAUUAGAAUGUCCAACAAAAUCAUAAAAGUGGCAUAUAAUUUUUUUCCUAUUUAUGGCCACCACCAGGAGUAUUUAUUGUCCAAUUUCUGCCUCUAUAGCCUUUUUAGGACAGAGGCAAUGCUAUCUACUACAAUGGCAGAAGCAUGACAAGUUUUUCUUAUCUCCUUGAUGCCAAAACAACAAAACUCUCAACACAAUCUUCUCUCCAAUGAGUACUUGUAAACAUGUAUACUUGCAGUGACAGUAAUCAUCUCGCGGAAGAUCUU